GAUGAACGCUAGCGGCAGGCCUAACACAUGCAAGUCGAGGGGUAACAGGGAAAGCUUGCUUUCCGCUGACGACCGGCGAACGGGUGCGUAACACGUAUGCAACCUACCUUCCACUGGGGUAUAGCCCAGAGAAAUUUGGAUUAAUCCCCCAUAGAACCAAGAGUCGCAUGGCUCAAUGGUUAAAGGAUUCCGGUGGAAGAUGGGCAUGCGUCCCAUUAGCUAGUAGGUGAGGUAACGGCUCACCUAGGCUACGAUGGGUAGGGGGUCUGAGAGGAUGAUCCCCCACACUGGUACUGAGACACGGACCAGACUCCUACGGGAGGCAGCAGUGAGGAAUAUUGCGCAAUGGACGAAAGUCUGACGCAGCCAUGCCGCGUGAAGGAUGACGGCCCUAUGGGUUGUAAACUUCUUUUAUAUACCAAGAAACCUCGGGACGUGUCCCGAGCUGACGGUAGUAUAUGAAUAAGCACCGGCUAACUCCG
rnacentral:rRNA from 1 species